GGACUUUAAGCUAGUUGAGGGCAGAGGCUCUACUUUGCUCAUUUGUCUCCCCUUUCUGCCUGGGAGUACCAGCAGAGCAGUCAUGUUUUAAAUGUGGUCUGUGUACUGGUGCCAGACGGUGAACUUUGCCACCAGCUUUUGAUGGGAUAAAUACAAACAUACCAUUUUAGAUUCCUGGGAGAGAAGUUAAUUCCUGUGUACGAUGGAUGCCUUGGAGAAUGAGGGCUCAAUUCUCUGGAGGAACCUUGGUCAAGAAAAACUGCCAUGAUUAGAGAUAUGUUUUAGGAAGAUGGAUCUGCCAGUGGGAUCACAUCCCUGAGAGGACCUGGUUGCCAAAGCAACUUAACAGUCCUGGAAAUAUCAAGAUGAGUCAUCUUCAGGCACUUGAAGUAUGAGGCUCCAGCCACCUUCCCUGAUCACUCCUCUUUCUAGUCCUACUGCCUCUUCCCCACCUUCCUCCCUCCCUCCCACCACACCUGCAUUCAAGUGCUGAAGCAGAGCCUUCCUGCUAAGCCAUCAACACAGGCAAAAGCAGCAUCUUCCAAGGGUCUCCUGAAAAUGAGACGACGUUAAGCAGUCUGUGCUAAGCUGUACAAUGCUGUACAAGUUUGGAGGAGGAAGUAUCGGAGUAGACCAGACGACCAAGAAAGGCUUCUUAAGAGAGAGAGGCCUUGAAGAGUCUGAGGAUUCAGAUAAGAAAACAGGGAACAUGAUGGCACUUUAGGCAGGAUGGGAAUAUCGUAGGUAAAGACAGAAUUAAGAGGCCUUAAGAGUUUUCCAACGGACAAAGGAAGAAGCUUUCUGCUUGGGGAUGUUUUCUAAGUCUCUGCUUCUGAGAGCAGCAAGUUCUCACUCCAGAAGCAUCAGUCAUCCCAAGAACUGCUGCCACAUCCACAAGUAGUCCUGCCCUUCAGUGGCUGUGCCCUAGAACAAAGCAUAUUCUGGCUGCUCUGGGGCAGGUCCCUUGUAGGCUUGGGGAUACAGGCCAGGCCUGGGUUUUAAGCUAGCAUGGCUGUGGCUGACAGAAAGUGGCAAGAUUACAUGUUCCUGGGAAGUUCCCAGAGGCCAAUCAGAAGAUGAUCUGGGGAUGCUGGGCCUGUGGAGGCAAAGGCUCUGGGACUGAAAGAACUUUCUUUGAAGACUGGUAUUUGGAAAAGUGACUAGGUAGCAAAAGACAGUUGGCAUAAGUUAUAGAGAAGACCACAGCUCAUUAAAAAGAUGUUUCAACCAUGCCGGGCGCAGUGGCCCAGCACUUAGGGAGGCUGAGGCGGGUGGAUCACCUGAGGUCGAGAGUUCGAGACCAGCCUGACCAACAUGGAGAAACCCUGUCUCUACUAAAAAUACAAUAUUAGCCAGAUGUGGUGGAACAUGCCUGUAAUCCCAGCUACUCGGGAGGCUGAGGUAGGAGAAUUGCUUGAACCCGGGAGGCGGAGGUCACGGUAAGCCAAGAUUGUGCCAUUGCACUCCAGUCUGGGCAACAAAAGCAAAACUCCAUGUCUCCAAAAAAAAAAAAAAAAAAAAAAGGUUUCAACCAGUCAAGGAUAAAGUAAAAUGGGAUUAACUCCCUGGGGAAGAAGGAGGUUCCUUCUGUCUCUGAAAAAUGUCAGCUAGCCAGCUGUUGGAGAGGGUUCUGCUGGAAGAGAGGCAGACAAUCAUCAGAGUGGCCCAGAGACCUUUGAGGACCUUUCCAGUGCUCAGGUUCUAUGAAGAAUGAUCCCAACAAGGAAGACCCUGGGGUCUAGCCCCAAGAGAGGAUCCCUGGCCCUCAAAAAGCACCAGAGGAGGCAUGAACAGGCAGUCAUGUGCCAUGUACUCACUCAGGGGUCUGUGCUCCACAGAUCCUGGCAAGAUGCUUCCCACACUCUCCCAAGGAGAGGCGGGAGUGGGAUAUGGGGAAGUGGGAAAGAAAGUGACUGGGAUGUGUCUGGCAGGUAGCACUACCAGACUUGGACAGGACUUGCCCAGCCUGAGUCUGGGGAUGGCAUGUUUUGUCUCUCCAAUUAACUGAUGUUCUCCAAAGGGAGGGUAUUCAUUAUUCAUUGAUUUAUUGAGUGCUUACUAAGUGCCAAGUACUAUAGUAGAUGCUGGGGACACUUGAACCAGUCAGCCAUGGUUCUUGCCUUUUAGAAGCUCAGAGACAAGUUAGGGAGAAGGCUAUUGAACAAAUAAAAACAAUUUCAGGUUGU